GAAUGACAAUUCUGAAUAAAUGC
rnacentral:snRNA from 1 species